rnacentral:rRNA from 1 species
CCUGGACAAAGACUGACGCUCAGGUGCGAAAGCGUGGGGAGCAAACAGGAUUAGAUACCCUGGUAGUCCACGCCGUAAACGAUGUCGACUUGGAGGUUGUUCCCUUGAGGAGUGGCUUCCGGAGCUAACGCGUUAAGUCGACCGCCUGGGGAGUACGGCCGCAAGGUUAAA